GACGAACGCUGGCGGCGUGCCUAAUACAUGCAAGUAGGACGCUGAAGGAGGAGCUUGCUUCUCUGGAUGAGUUGCGAACGGGUGAGUAACACGUAGGUAACCUGCCUGGGAGCGGGGGAUAACUAUUGGAAACUAUAGCUAAUACCGCAUAAUAGUAGAUGUUGCAUGACAUUUGCUGGAAAGUUUCAGUUGCAUCGCUACCAGAUGGACCUGCGUUGUAUUGGCUAGGUGGUGGGGUAACGGCUCACCAAGGCGACGAUACGGAGCCGCACUGAGAGGGGGAUCGGCCAACCUGGGACUGAGACCCGGCACAGAGUCCUUGGGGAGGCGCCAGUACGGCAACUUGGGGAAUGGACGGAAGACUGAGCGCGAAACGCCGAGGGCGUGUAGAAGGUCUUCGGAUCGUAAAGCACGGUUGUAAGGGAAGAAAGAGCGUGCGAGUGGAAAGUUCACACUGUGACGGUAUCUGACCAGAAAGGGACGGCUAACUACGUG
rnacentral:rRNA from 1 species